UAAGAAUGACUGUGGGACCUACUGUCCUCCCCUCCGGCACCCACCGCUCAGGGGUGGGUGCCGGAGGGGAGGACAGUAGGUCCCACAGUCA